UCCUAUGUAUGUUGGCUUCAGUAGGUUCAGGUUCGCUGUUAGAGAAGGAUGCAUCUAGAUGGAAUCUAUUGAUCUUGAUAGAAAAGGAGUUCUAUAUGGUUAGCAAGACUGAGUUUAGUAAGUCUUCGAUUGAAGUAUGUGUGAAUACUGGAAAAGAAUUUCUAUAGGAUUCACAAGUGAACUCAAGUUGAGCCAAUCUGGUAUAUGACUAACGAUGGAAUUUGAUGAGUU
rnacentral:lncRNA from 1 species